GCCUUCAGUUGCCAGCAUUUAGUUGGGCACUCUGGAGGGACUGCCGGUGACAAGCCGGAGGAAGGUGGGGAUGAUGUCAAGUCCUCAUGGCCCUUACGGGCUGGGCUACACACGUGCUACAAUGGCGGCGACAAUGGGAAGCAAGGGGGCGACCCGGAGCUAAUCCUUAAAAGCCGUCUCAGUUCGGAUUGUACUCUGCAACUCGAGUGCAUGAAGUCGGAAUCGCUAGUAAUCGUGGAUCAGCAUGCCA
rnacentral:rRNA from 14 species